AAGUCGUAACAAGGUUUCCGUAGGUGAACCUGCGGAAGGAUCAUUACCGAGUUAGGGUCUUCCAGGCCCGAUCUCCAACCCUGUGUAUACAUGACUUCGUUGCUUUGGCAGGCCUGUCCGUGACCGGACUGCCGGCGGUCCCCGGGACCGCUGGAGCGUGCCUGUCAGUAGCCCCCCAUUUUAAAUUCUUGAAUAAGCGUGGCCUCUGAGUUUAGACAAACAAAUAGUUAAAAACUUUCAACAACGGAUCUCUUGGUUCUG
rnacentral:misc_RNA from 1 species